rfam:Stegodyphus mimosarum contig118921, whole genome shotgun sequence.
GCCUUAGUGGUUUAGUGGUCAGCACGCUCGACGCGUAUUCGAGAGGUCCGUGGUUCGAGUCCCAGCGAGGGCA